rnacentral:rRNA from 1 species
UAGAGUUUUGAUCCUGGCUCAAGGAUAAAACGCUGGCGGCGCACAUAAGACAUGCAAGUCAACGAACUUAACCGAAGUAUUUUAUAUUUUGGUAGCGGUUAGUGGCGGACUGGUGAGUAACACGUAAGCAACCUGCCUAUCAGAGGGGAAUAACAGUGAGAAAUCAUUGCUAAUACCGCAUACCCUAUUUACAUCGCAUGAAGGAAAUAGGAAAGGAGAAAUCCGCUGAUAGAUGGGCUUGCGUCUGAUUAGAUAGUUGGUGGGGUAAAGGCCUACCAAGUCGACGAUCAGUAGCCGGACUGAGAGGUUGAACGGCCACAUUGGGACUGAGAUACGGCCCAGACUCCUACGGGAGGCAGCAGUCGGGAAUAUUGCACAAUGGAGGAAACUCUGAUGCAGUGACGCCGCGUGCAGGAAGAAGGUUUUCGGAUUGUAAACUGCUUUAGACAGGGAAGAAAAAGACAGUACCUGUAGAAUAAGCUCCGGCUAACUACGUG